UGGUAUAUGCUGUUUGUGGAAGGAGGCGAGCAUAGCCAAGAUGAGGAGCUUCGCGUAUUGUAAACGCGGAUAUUCAAGUAUGGGACAUUCCACAACGACAUAUCUAGCGUUUUUUCUACGCUAAGAAUGGAUUUUAAAAAAAGAGUACAGAAAAUCACGGAAUGAUGUCAAGUGCGUCAACUUGUGACAAUAUAAACCAGGAGAAAAGAGAAUUCAUUAUAAAACGUGAAGGUCACUGUCCUAACGGCUCGUCCUGGAACGCCCCAUGGAGAGAACAUAAUGCGUGAAAAUAUAAAUAAUAAAAAAGGAAACUAAACCGAAGUUGGAAAAAAUCUACCCGAGCAAUCGUUCCGCAAGCUCGGCGGACGAAAAACUGCUGACUGAUGAUCAUAAUCCCGUAGUGAUCGUCAAACGUGUCAACGGUCACGGCGAGACUCAUACAAACUCGAAAAACAUAUGGGCAAUGUGUAUAUUACAACUAACUGCGCUCGCUAUCAGUAGUUCAAACACCGCUGUUCGAUAACUCGCCGGACUGUCACCACCGCCGAACACACAGCUCGCGAGCCUUUUUUUUCUCGAUAAAUUUUCUUCAGGAUUCAACAAGUUUUGGUACCACUCGUCGAUAGGCAAGAAAUCUGUUCACGUACGCGUAUGUUUCCAUACGAAAAUAAUAUAUUAGAUCGAAGUUUUCACAAUGGUUAGAAAUUUAGAGUGAAUCUUGAGCGAAUUCGCUGUUAUUUAGAUACUGUCAAACGUCGUUUCCAAUUGCCGAAAGAUUUUGAUAAAAAAAGAUUCAAAGAUCUGCACUGCGAGAAGGUUCGAAAUUCCAUAAAACAUAUUUCAGGAAAGAGAUUCCCACGGAGUUGUUGGAAAUUCACAGACUGUAAUUGAAAUUUGUUUUGUUUAAUUUACUAUCAAAGACUAAAUCUCAAUUGAAUAAUCAAAGAUACGGAAUUAAUGGAAUACCGAAGGUCAAUCAGUUGGUUUGGCAUGGUCCCUCCGAGUUUGAAAAUUUACAGACAUUUCUUCGGUAUAUAGAGAUUGUCACGUAAGGACAAAAAUAUUGAGAGAGUUGACAAAAUCGCUCACGAAGUUUGCAAGAUAAUAGGGAAAAGUUUACCUCCAAGAAAGCCCGCAAAGCUGUGACGAUAAUGAGUUACGCACGUUAUCGCCUCGUGUAACGUGAAUUAUAACACGCGGUACGAUAAUGCUCGAGAAAAAUAACAUUUCAUUGGUGCGCGUCGUGCGAACAUCUGUUUACAAAGUUUGUCAUAUAAAUUAGCGGAAUUUAUUUACAAA